UACGGAGGGUGCAAGCGUUAUCCGGAUUUACGUGGGUUUAAAGGGUGUGUAGGCGGGCUUUUAAGUCAGUGGUGAAAUCUCCGGGCUCAACCUGGAAACUGCCAUUGAUACUAUUAGUCUUGAAUUUUGUUGAGGUAGGCGGAAUAAGUCAUGUAGCGGUGAAAUGCAUAGAUAUGACUUAGAACACCAAUUGCGAAGGCAGCUUGCUAAACAAAUAUUGACGCUGAGGCACGAAAGCGUGGGGAUCAAACAGGA
rnacentral:rRNA from 1 species